GGGAGUUCAGACGGUGCCUUACCCAGAAACUCAGUUGUUUGCUGCAAAAGGAGUAAAGGGGUAGCUGAGACAUGGAUUGGAAAACACAGGCCUGUCAUUGUCUUAGUUGGGAUUUCUACUGCUGUGAGGAGACACCGUGACCACCACUAGUCUUUCAAAGGAAAUAUUUAAUUGGGGAUAGCUUACAGUUUAGAGGCUCAGUUCUUUAUCGUCCUGGUUAGAAGCAUGGCAGCAUGCAGACAGACGUGGUGCUGGAGAAGGAGCUGAGAGUUCUACAUCAGGUUCUUCAGGUAGCAGGAAGACAGAGCCACUGGGCCUAGGCUUGAGCUUCUAAGACCUCAAAGCCCAACCCCUAGUGACACACCUCCUCUGGGUAGGCCACACUUCCCAUAGUGCUACGGGGCCAUUUUCGUUUAAAGUCCUACAGUUAUUAUAGCUAUCAAAGUACUGUAGUCAUUAGAAUCUGCAGAGAUGGAAUGUGUUUGAGAAACGUGGGGUGGGUUUGUGCACUGAGGGUUGAAAUGAGUCUGCUGAGGUUUGUUUGGUGUUUGUGCAUGCUGAGGUUUCAAGUGUGAAGUCUGCUGGGAUGUGUCCAGUGAGGAGUGCAGGGAGAGGAGGGUGGCAGGUUGAAGAGAGAGCAGAGCCAGUUAGUGCAGGAGUUGUUGGAAAUUUCACUAAAGGGAAGGAAGAGGAGGUGGUGUCUGGAAGGCAGGAAAAGGCACAGCUGUUUGAAUUCUUUGUAAAUUCAGGUAAAUGCCAGUAUUGGUGGGAAGGAGUUAGGAAGUAAGGAGUCAAGACAAAGGAAAGGCUGGUAACUGAUUGGUAGGCGAAAGGGAGGAGAAUCCUUUGUGAGAAAGCAAGGUGGGAACUGCAGGUCCUGACAGCUCUGGGGGCGGAGCCUGUCUGUCAACACUGUGUCCACUGCUGGGCACGAGAGGUGCUCACCUCUGCAUGGAACAUAGUGGAUGAAAUACUUGGAAGGAGAGAUGGCUAGCCUAGAAACAAGGGAUCUAGAUGAUAGAAUAGAGAUCAGUCGGGCUCUGUAUUAGUUACUUUUCUGUUGCUGUGAUAAAACACCAUGACAGAAAGCAUCUUAAGGAAGAAAGGGUUGUUUUGAAACAGUUCAAUAGGACAAGUGAAAUGAACAAACUGAAGUCAUUGGGAAGUGGUUGCAAUGACGAGUUACGAAAUCCACCUUGGAUGGAGGGGUAAGAAAAUAGGUUAGAAA
rnacentral:lncRNA from 1 species